GCUAAUCUGCGAUAAGCGCCGGUAAGGUGAUAUGAACCGUUAUAACCGGCGAUACCCGAAUGGGGAAACCCAGUGUGACUCGUCACACUAUCAUUAACUGAAUCCAUAGGUUAAUGAGGCGAACCGGGGGAACUGAAACAUCUAAGUACCCCGAGGAAAAGAAAUCAACCGAGAUUCCCCCAGUAGCGGCGAGCGAACGGGGAGGAGCCCAGAGCCUGAAUCAGCAUGUGUGUUAGUGGAAGCGUCUGGAAAGGCGCGCGAUACAGGGUGACAGCCCCGUACACAAAAGCGCAUGUGCUGUGAGCUCGAUGAGUAGGGCGGGACACGUGGUAUCCUGUCUGAAUAUGGGGGGACCAUCCUCCAAGGCUAAAUACUCCUGACUGACCGAUAGUGAACCAGUACCGUGAGGGAAAGGCGAAAAGAACCCCGGCGAGGGGAGUGAAAAAGAACCUGAAACCGUGUACGUACAAGCAGU
rnacentral:rRNA from 1 species